CAGCAGCCGCGGUAAUACGUAGGUGGCAAGCGUUGUCCGGAAUUAUUGGGCGUAAAGGGCUCGCAGGCGGUUUCUUAAGUCUGAUGUGAAAGCCCCCGGCUCAACCGGGGAGGGUCAUUGGAAACUGGGAAACUUGAGUGCAGAAGAGGAGAGUGGAAUUCCACGUGUAGCGGUGAAAUGCGUAGAGAUGUGGAGGAACACCAGUGGCGAAGGCGACUCUCUGGUCUGUAACUGACGCUGAGGAGCGAAAGCGUGGGGAGCGAACAGGAUUAGAUACCCGGGUAGUCCCUGUCUCUUAUUA
rnacentral:rRNA from 1 species